CUUCCAGCAGCACCUUAGAGACCAACCAAGAUUGUUAUUGGUAUGAUCUUUCGUGUGUAUGCACACUUCUUCAGACAGGAAAGCUCAUACCAAUAACAAACUUAGUUGGUCUCUAAGGUGCUACUGGAAG
rnacentral:miRNA from 1 species